rnacentral:sRNA from 2 species
GAGAAUAAAACGUGAAGGAUAACGUUGCGUCAGCAACGGCCCGUAGGGCGAGGCGAAGCCGAGUCAUCCUGCACGACCCACCA